GGGUGCGAGCGAGAGCUCUUUAGGGCAGAGCGACCUGGACAUCUCUGAAAAUGAAAAACUGUCGUGAGAAACUUGCUACAAAUGCAAACCGUCAAAAUGCUGAAGCUUUCUGAUGGGUGAUCUUCGUUUAUUUCUCCAGACGAUGCAGGCGAAGUGAUUAUUUCUAGAACUCACCUCUUUAAAUGCUCUCAAUCGUUGGAGUGUUUUUUGGCGCUCUUGGUUUAUCCAUUCUUUUUUCUUUUGCUCCUCCUCUUUUUUCUGGUCUCUUUUCUGUAUUUAAACAAACACAUAUUUGUAAACUUCUCAGAAGUCCUGAGAAAGAAAGGGACUGUCACCUGACCUUAUUGCCUCCUCUGGCCCCCACGUCUGCCCCCCACGCCGCAGGGCCAGACUGCGCUGUCCCCUCAGGAUCAAGGCUGACGGGGCAAUGGAGCUCCACUUUGCACAAACUUAAGCCCAUGUGUCAUGUUAUGCAAAUAUAAAACAUUUUUCUUCAACCACUCACCCUCUGAACGCUAUGAUGCUGAUGAAAAUAUUUUAUGCUUUCUUCAGCCUGCUGCAAUCUGAGUCGAUGAUUUUCUUUGCAUUGAUCCUGGGGAAAUAAUAUAAUUUCAUAGAUCUGUUUUUCACCUGGUUAUAAAUUGAACGCCACAUGGUUUUUAAUAUUACCAUGGGCUAUAGCAUAAAA